AUCAGAGACUGAACAUGACAAAUACGCCCAUCGAUAUAUUCCUUGGAGGUACACAUCAGCAACCUUGUUAAGUAAGAAGUUAUGCAUGUAUGUCUUCAUUCUCUCCAUGUUGAUGCAACCCGUACAAACACAGAGAUGAAAGAGGAAAAAGAUAAACAAGAGGAACAAGCUGAAAGACAUAAAAGUGUUAAGAUUUAUGUACAUUUCCAUAAAUUCAAUUCUAAAUUAAACUGUUCUUUUAUUUCCUCUCUUUUUAGAGUAGUUUAACUCCCAUUCUGUCCGUUUUUUAUCCUUAUGUCAAGAAAGGUUCGGUGCUUGUUUCAUCUGAAUCAUUUUAUAUAGGUAUAAUGGUUAGAUAAAUUUGACCAACACUUACUAGAAUAGUUUGAUUUUUAAGAAUGUAUUUAAAGUUCAUUUCUCUAUAACAGAGCAAUUAUCUCAAAGUACGUGGCAAUAGCUGGCAUUAGCUGCUCAGCAUAAUUUACAAUAUACUGAGAAGACAAAAAUUGAUGCCUGUUUUCUUUUUUUAUAGCAAUUUUUGUAAUGAAAUAUUUUCUUUCACACUUCCUAAGAAAGUAGCUUUCAUAAGCAUUCUGAAGUGCCAUCCUCAAACAAAGGAUUUAUAAGCCAAUUGAAGGAACAUGCUUACUGUAAAAUAAAUGAGUGGCUUUUUUAUGAAGGGGAGCAUAACAUGCCUUUUCAUUUGAUGAGCUCUAAAAGAAUCAUUUGGAACAUAUGACGAUUUUGGCAAGACAGCAACCUGUGCAACUUACCUGCUGAGUGACUGAAAACUAAGAAUAAAUAAUAUCAUGUUCUUCCUAGGUACUGUAGAAAAGAUUGCCUAAAUACAGGACUACAUGCCAAAAGUGGAGCUUGACCAGAGUUUGGUACCAAAAUGUUCACAGAGAAAUGCUGAUUCAAAACUUUUGAAGUCCAAGCCUGAGGGUGCCAGUGCUCCAAAACCUGCUGAUUUAUUUUCUUCUUUCAAGCAUUUUGAGUCGCACCUCUGCUCGUCCUUGGUACUAUCCCAGGCCUCAUUGAACAGAGCAGAUAAAUUGCUUCAGAUCCUGAUCUCAGCAAAUCCUACCACUGCGUAUGGGUCGCUAAGCAUACGAGUAGCUUUUUUUCCCCCGCACGCUACAUGUCUUGAAUUCCUGUAUGCUUUAAUUAUUUUAAGGAUUAACCAUUAAAUUGUACUCGAUGGGAGAAUUACAUAUGCAGAAAAUUAGAGAUUUUCCUCUCUGUCUCCAGCACAUCUAAGCACUUUUUCAAAAGGAAAGAUAGCAAUGGUAUGGAUAUUUGGGACCUGAGCAAAUACUGUGAUUUCAUCUUCAGAGUACAGUGUAUUCUGAGUCCUAAAUGAAACACAAAGAUGCAGAAAAGAUAUGUGCACCUAUUGUCAAGCAUAGGUAGUGUCUUCUGUAAAAUUAAAGGCCAAAAUCAUAUUCACACUUUCUAGUCUUUGAAUGUUUGAUGUUGCGACUUUACAUACACUUUUACUUUAGUAUUCUUUAUGUAGCAUAUUCCUAAGGAUACAGGAUGUUUGGGCUGAAAUGGAUUUCUUGGGACAAUGUUCACACUGUGCUCAUGACCUGGGUUGGUAUUCAAGGCUGCAUCUGCAACAUUUUCUGCAUACAAAGAAAGGAAGAAACGAUAUGUAGCAAAGCCACUAUGAGUUUCUAAUCAUUUGCAUACCUGAUAAAUGCUGUUAAUAUACUCUCAAAAAUAAAAUGUGUUUUCCAGCUGUUGAUUGCUGGUUG
ensembl:lncRNA